AUGCUUCUAUCUUUUUCUUUCUUCUAAUUUUUCGAAAUCUGAGAGUGCCAUUUCAAAGUUUGUGAAAAUCAAAAUCAAAAUCAUAUUAUGUUUCAUCUGAUUUCGAGCAUAGGAGGAGAUACAUGUUGAAUUUUGUUCAAAUUCAUCUUAUAUGUGUUGUUUUUUUAUUAUACAUGCUGAAUUUUGUUCAAUUCCAUAUUAUAUGUGCUAUUUUUUUAUUAUACAUGCUGAAUUUUGUUCAAAUUUAUAUAACUUUUAAUUGUGAGGACCGUUAGUGAACAGUAUUUGGUUCCGAUUGGUGUUUUUUUUUUGCGACAGUGGGAUGCAUUCAGGUCCACAUUUAAGUCAUUGGCCACCGUCUCUGUUUCCCAAUAGCAUAGCUCCACCACAUAUAUAACUCCAUAUAUCUGUUGCUCGAUUCAUAUGUAAACAUAUUUCUUCACUGCCUUCUUCUUCCAAUCAUUCUCUCCCCCCACCUUCUAAAUCGACAUCGUCGGUAAACCCCCAUUCUAUCUAUCUAUAUGCUCUGUGGUUUGCUUAUAUCUAGAAAAAAAAACCUUUCCACCCUCACCUUCGAUGACGUAUCAACCCUUCUCCCCUCUGUCGCACCAUCCAAAUGCCAUUAAAGGUGGUUGCAGCCGCCUGCGCCAAGCCUACAACAAAUGGAAGUUUUCCGCCUUCAAUUCUUCUUUACCACAGUCCGUUUUCAAUUUUGUUGGAUCAAGUGUUAGGGUUUUUUGGUGUUUAAUAUGUGUUUCUGUUUCCUAAUAGCACAGCUCCGCCACACUACCGACUCAAUAUUUGUUGCUCAAUUCAUAUGUACAUGUAUUUCUUCACCGUUGCCUUCUUCCAAUCAUUCUCUUCCCCCACCUUCUAAAUCGACCUUGCCGGUAAACCCCCAUUCUAUUUAUCUUUAUGCUUUUAAAUCGACCUCGUCAGUAAACCCCCAUUCUAUAUAUCUUUAUGCUCUGUGGUUUGCUUAUAUCUGAAAAAAUCCUUUCCACCCCCUCCUUCGACGACGUAUCAACCCUUCUCCCCUCUGUCGCACAAGCCAAACGCCAUUAAAGGUGGUUGCAGCAGCCUCCGCCAAGUCUACAAUAAAUGGAAGUUUGUCGCCUUCAAUUCUUCUUUACCACUGUCUGUUUUCAAUUUUGUUGGAUCGAGUUUUAGGGUUUUUGGUGUUUAAUAUGUGGUUUGGUUAUCAUCUGCCUCUUCCGAACAUGAAAAUCAUGCCCACAAGCUUUUAACAUCCCAAUACCAUCCAUAUUCGCAUACUCUUCCUGUAAAUUUUUAACCACAUCAACUAAAUAUAUAUAAUUUUUUUAAAACAUUUUAAUUAAGAACAAUAAAUUGAUUCUUGUACGCAUUUUGAGAUAAGAUGAUUAGGGACACCAGUGGCUACACUUCCUAUUCUUUCCCCAAGUGUAAGGAGCUCCUUCUUUGACCAAAUUUGAAGAAAAAAAAACGGCCAAAACUGUAAAAUCAUAUAGAAACUUACUAACCUCAUAGCUCAUGUCAUUUAUGGAAAGUCUCAUUUGUUUACAUUCUUCAAGGGAAUGUGGUUCACUUAAUUUACAAUAUGGUUGGUUUUGUGUGCAGAUUAUACUUAUAUUAUUAUAGGAGGGAUAUGGUGUUAGUAGAUUGCACAUUUCCAAUAAUGCGAUCAAGACAAAUUGUUCCAUGUAAGAGUUGAUCAUGUGACCAAUGCGUUUAUUCAAUGUCAUCAAUGGUGGACCACAUGCUAGAAACAAGCUUGGUAUGCAGGAAUUCAUGAUUGAAGAAGACAAGGAAGGACUUGAUGCAUAAAACAACCAUUGGUCAGGUUGGAGAAGUUGUGAUUAGAAUAGACGUUUCUACAUGUAAAUGUGGUCAUAUUUGUAAAUAAGUCCUUAUCUACGCAUAAAUAAAUAUUUAGUAACAGUAAUAAAAGGCUAUGGAAUACCCUCCAA